rnacentral:rRNA from 1 species
CAGAACGAACGCUGGCGGCGCGUCUUAAGCAUGCAAGUCGAACGGCAAGGGAGGUGCUUGCACCUGUCCUAGAGUGGCGGACUGGUGAGUAACACGUGGGUGACAUGCCUUUUAGUUGGGGAUAGCUACUAGAAAUAGUAGAUAAUACCGAAUGUGAUCAAUAUUUAUAGAUGAUGUUGAGGAAAGGAGCUAAGGCUUCGCUAAAAGAUUGGCCCGCGGCCCAUUAGCUAGUUGGUAGGGUAAAGGCUUACCAAGGCGAUGAUGGGUAUCCGGCCUGAGAGGGUGAUCGGACACAUUGGGACUGAGAUACGGCCCAGACUCCUACGGGAGGCAGCAGCUAAGAAUAUUCCACAAUGGACGAAAGUCUGAUGGAGCGACGCCGCGUGGAUGAUGAAGGCCGAAAGGUUGUAAAAUCCUUUUACACUGGAGGAAUAAGCAGAGUAGGGAAUGACUCUGUGAUGACUGUACAGUUUGAAUAAGCAACGGCUAAUUACGUGCCAGCAGCCGCGGUAACACGUAAGUUGCGAGCGUUGUUCGGAAUUAUUGGGCGUAAAGGGCAUGUAGGCGGAUUUGCAAGCUUGAUGUGAAAUCCCGCAGCUUAACUGCGGAACUGCAUUGAGAACUGCAAGACUAGAGUUACUGAGGGGAAACUAGAAUUCCAAGUGUAGGGGUGAAAUCUGUAGAUAUUUGGAAGAAUACCAAUGGCGAAGGCAAGUUUCUGGCAGAUAACUGACGCUGAGGUGCGAAGGUGCGGGGAGCAAACAGGAUUAGAUACCCUGGUAGUCCGCACAGUAAACGAUGUACACUAGGUGUUGACCAUGAGGGUGAGGCCAUCAGCUAACGCAAUAAGUGUUCCGCCUGGGAAGAAUGCCCGCACGGGUGAAAAUCAAAAGAAUGAACGGGGGCCCGCGCAAGCGGUGGAGCAUGUGGUUUAAUUCGAUGGUACGCGAGGAACCUUACCUGGGUUUGACAUAUACUGGAAUGUUAUAGAGAUAUAGCAGCGUAGCAAUACGCCGGUAUACAGGUGCUGCAUGGCUGUCGUCAGCUCGUGCCGUGAGGUGUUGGGUUAAGUCCCGCAACGAGCGCAACCCCUACUGUCAGUUGCUAACAGAUAAUGCUGAGGACUCUGGCGGAACUGCCGGUGACAAACCGGAGGAAGGUGGGGAGGACGUCAAGUCAUCAUGGCCCUUAUGUCCAGGGCUACACACGUGCUACAAUGGUAGAAACAAAGCGAUGCUACACUGCAAAGUCACGCAAAACGCAAAAAAGCUAUCGUAGUUCGGAUUGGAGUCUGAAACUCGACUCCAUGAAGUUGGAAUCGCUAGUAAUCGCGCAUCAGCACGGCGCGGUGAAUACGUUCCCGGGCCUUGUACACACCGCCCGUCA